ACAAGGGUAGUCUACACCAGACAUCUGAUUUCGACUCAGAAGACCUUAUACCACUCUAAGCCCUUGCA
rnacentral:tRNA from 1 species